rnacentral:rRNA from 1 species
UACGUAGGGUGCAAGCGUUAAUCGGAAUUACUGGGCGUAAAGCGUGCGCAGGCGGCUUUGCAAGACAGAUGUGAAAUCCCCGGGCUUAACCUGGGAACUGCAUUUGUGACUGCAUGGCUGGAGUGCGGCAGAGGGGGAUGGAAUUCCGCGUGUAGCAGUGAAAUGCGAAGAUAUGCGGAGGAACACCGAUGGCGAAGGCAAUCCCCUGGGCCUGCACUGACGCUCAUGCACGAAAGCGUGGGGAGCAAACAGG